GUCCCGCGGCUCCUCCUGCCGCCGCCUCCGCCGCGGCUCGGCCGCACUUCGCCGCCCGGGGCUCGGCGUGCGCCCGCGGAGCACACCGGUGACCCGGGACCCCCUCCCCGCCCGACCCCUCCAUACCGGGCGAGCCCCCCCCCCCCCCGCGCGCCACCAGGCCCGCGGCCCGGCCCGGCCCGGCCCCGGAGUGCGGGCCGGAGGCUCCGCGCCCCCGCCGAGGGCUUGGACUCGGGUCUGCGCGGCGGGGAGCGGUUUUUAGGGUGCGGGGACUCCGCUCUGGGGUGGACGCGGGCCGAGAGCCGCGGUUGGAGCGGCCUCGGGUCACCCCGGCGCGGGGCGCGGCUGCCGGCGGGAAUUGCCGGGAACAACAAGGACAGCGGAAAGCAGCAGGGUGCGGUGCCGGACCCCCGGUCCCCACGGAGAACACGGACGGCGCUCCGCGGGGGCCACUGGCACUCACGUAACAGCAGAACCGGGGCGGUGGGAGGUGGUGGUUCGCAUUUUGGGGAUUAUGGAAAGUUGGAAGUAAUUUGGCGUUUAAACCUAAGGGCUGUCUAGAGUUGUUUUCUCAUCCUUGUCAUAAAAGUUAAUAAGAAUUUUCUUAUUUUUUUUAAGGAGAGAGUUGCUGUUGAUCCAUGAAAGAUGCCCCCUAAAGUUUUCGAGGCAUUAGAAAUUAGUGGAAUAUGUUUCCCAUAGAGAUGGUAAAGCCUCUGGAUUUGGAGAUGCUCAAAACCCAACUGGACACAGCCUUAAGCAACCUCCUGUAGGUGGCCUUGCUCUGAGCAGGAAGGUUGGGGAAGACAAUCUCCAGAAACACCUUCCAGCUUAAACAAUUCUAUGAUUUCUAAGCCAGUUUUCCAAGAAACAUAAAGUGCAUAGAAAAUUCCACUGAACAGCACAAUAUGCUCUAAGGUGUUUGGUUCCAAGGACGUUUUAUUCAAUUUCUUGUUCACACAGGCAAUGGAAAUCCAGAAUGCAGGGCAUGUUGCACUCAAAGAUUUAGCAUAGCCAGUUGUCAUUGCAGAGGAAGGGCUUCAGAAAACUAGAAUGCCAUUAAAAGGCAAAUGACUGGAUGUUUUACAAUCUUCUUUGCAAACUUAUUUGCUAACUUCUUGGCUGGCUGGCCAUUCAUCCUGUCUGUAUGUAACUGUUUCACAUUUACCCCCUUGUUCUUCACACUCGGGAGCAGGAUACUAGCAUAUUUUGAAUGUUUUGUGUAAUUUUUGUCUUGAUGGAGCCAUUACCUCAGUGUUUUCCCAACCACUCAGGUUUCCAAUAGGCCACAGACACCCUGGUGUGAUCAGAAACAGGGUAACUCCCAUGGGUGCAGCUGCCAGGAAGGAAGCCGUGUUUGCAGCUGAUACUCACAGCCCUUUCUGCUCCCACAGCCAACAGAGGUAUCCAAAGGCAGAACACACUUGGAAACUGCAGGUACCAUAGGUGUGCUGGCACCACUUUGGAACAACAUAGGUUAACUUACCUGCAGAAAUGUUUUUGUAACUUGCACUUUAUGGAAUUCAGUAGGCAAAGAGUAAAACUACAUUGUAGGCAAUAGGAUUUCUGACCUUCACUGGUGGUUAGGUUGUGUCAGAUUUGGUACACCAGAGAGAGAAUACAGCUUGUGUAUAAAAGUUUGUAGCUCAGUUGUUCUCAGUUCUCAGUGAAUGGAGCCCUUGCAGUCCAACUCCAAUUUUACUUGUGAUCUACUGUUCUUUUGUAUUUUUCCCUAGAGUUUAUUUUGGUGUCACUUGGAAGUAGGUACUGUGCUGUAUCUUUUUCCUCACAAAAGCAAAUUAAGUCAGUGGCUUUUGCUCAGUGUCCUCUUAUGUAGCAGUCACUGAGUUAGUUCUGGAGAUACCUGCUGCUAAUUUCAUACUUGGACAUUUAUUUAUCACAAUGUUGUGAUCAGGUUCCAGCUUGGUAAUCUUAAAAGGAGUUACUUUAUCUGUUGAGUAAUGAAAAAUGGGUUACAGCUCCAAGUAUGGCUGAUGCUUUUAUCCAUCUUGCUGAUAAUUUUCUUGUCAAUAAAUGAUAAAAAUUCAUAAUGAGCUAUUUUCAGUCACAGUUCCUUCCCUUUUAUCUUGUGUGUUAAUUAGAUCCUUUUCCAGGUACUGGCAACAUGCAUAGCAAACAAAAUUGUACCAAGUAACACCCCCAAAUUUCUCAAGCUGUAGCUCUCCUCUAUUGCCAAGCCCCAGGUUAUAAGAGAAUAACUUGAGUUUUGUCAGCUUUCUGGUGACUGAUUUGAAGGUCUUUAAGUAGACAUGUGUUUACUUCUUCAUCUGUGAAAUAGAUAAAAUAGAGUUAUUUUACCAUCCAGUUACCUGAUCAUGUUUCAGUAACCAUUUUUGACCUUGACAAACCCCUCAGCAGGUGGUGAGGGUUCAUUGUGAGCUGGCUACGUCACUAUAUAGUAAACAUGAACCUGCUGAAGUUAUCUUUUCAUGUUUUUCUUAUGCAACCACAGUGAUGGAGGUUGGGGAGGAAAGAAAGUGAAGGGGAAUUGUUCUAAUUUCUCCCAGAAUAGUCCUGUGUUAAUAUAUUCUCAGGGAAAUUCUGGAAUAGUUUUUCUGUCUUCUAGCUUCUAUUUGAAAUUUGUCUAUAAAAAGGAAAUACUGCAAUUUUACCCAAGGCUCUAAUGUUCCAUAAUAUUCUCUUGAUUGUUAGUAAUAUUGCAAGUGCACCAAUAUUUACCUGCAGUCAUUGGACUAAAAAGGAAGGAGUAAGGAGGAUUGACAAGAUUGCUCCUAGCAGUGGUAUCAAGGUCUGCUUCAUGACUGUAGGAGCUGCUGACUUUACACAUGGUGUUCUCAGGACAGUUACAUUGAAAAGGAAUCCUUGUAAAAAUAUGUCCCAAAAUGAAGGAAGUAUGAGGGAUAAGCAGUCUUUCUAUUGAUAGUUUAAUCUACAGGUCCAGAUAACCCUUGAGACUUAAAAUUGAGUGCAACAAAGGAUAAGUUGUCAGUCCAAAAGUCUGUAAGACCUCAUAAAGUGUUUCUGGUCACUAAUCAGUAGGAAAUGCCUAGUGAGAAGUGAAAGUAUAGGGAAAUGUGGAGUUAUGUGCUUUAAAAUGCACUCCUGCCUGCCUUUGUUAUCAGAGGAGGUAGCUGGUUCAUUUAUAUCAAUAAAUCUCAAAAGGCUUGAGCCACUUCAGGAAGGGUGAUAUCAGCCAGUGCCCAUUUGUCUGAGUUGGGUAAUAAGCUGGCUGUCAUGUUAAAGUCAGUUCUUUUAAAAUAAUUGAAAAGCAACAUGGGAUUUCUUUAAUAAGGAAUAAAAGGGUAGAAAUGUAACUAGUGCCAGUAACUGUGGCUUAGGGGAAAAUGAUCCUGACAGACACAUCAAACUUCAUUACUUGAGUAGGUGAGAAGCUUCAGCACAAUAUAAUUGUGUAGAUGGAGCAGACUUGGGUAAGGUGCUUCAUGCUGCACACACCUAAAGUCUUCCUUACUUUCAGUAUCACACAUUAGAUGGCUUAAAAGCUGAUGGACUGAGAGUUGUGAAGAAAUACAUAACAUUGCAGAAAUAACCUAACAAUUGGAUUGUUCAAAGAGGUGGAACCCAACACUUCCAUCAUGGUCUAGAAGUCAUCAUAGAGUCAUUCCUGGUUUUAUUUGUGACUGUGACAAAGUUCCUGGAAUAAGUACAUAGAGAUGAUGAGGAAAAGACAAUAAUGCAGAAACAUCAUACAGACUGGAUUACUUUGUAAAUUGAACCACUUAAAUAAGUUAUGUCUUAAUCUGUCCAAGUGCAAAAUUAAGUGUCUAGGAUUAAUGAAUGCAAGUCAUGUACCUAAAGGAUAUUUCUGAAUCCUGGAAAGCAAAAACUUUAGAAAAGAUUAAAUGAAUGCAAUCACAAGACUCCUCAAAACCAACCUCAUAUACAUGUGGGACAGAAAGGGCUGGUGCUGUUUGGGGAUGCUCACAGUAGAGUAGGUAGUAGAAAUAAGGUCAGUUUGUAUCUGCUGGGUCAUGUUUUUUAAAUAGACCAAAAACUGGAGAGGCCACAAAGAAUGAGAGAAGAAUUUGGAUGCUUAAAAAGUCUUUAUCUGUUUAAUACCAAAAAGAACAAAAAAAAAAAAAGUAGACAUUAAUCAUAUAGUACUUUCCCAGUUAUAGGAAUUCACUUCAGUCUAAAGAGAGAAAUGGAUAGCUGGAGUUUAAACAAGAUAGAUUUGAUCAAAAAAAAAAGAUUUGUCUUCCUAAGUAAUAAAUGGUGAUCGACCACAAGCAAAACAAUGGACAGGAUGGGUCUUCCUCCCCUCAAUGCCUUCACCUCCAGAUUGGAUGGCACUUCCUGGCAUUUCUGCCCAAGUCCUUUGGUUCACAAAGGAGUGAGUGAAAUUUAAUGGCUUAUGCCAUAAAGAAAUUGAUAUUAGACCACCUUUUACAAUCCUCUCCUGCCCUUUCACAAGUGGAAGCAGGUGGAGGUAUCUAGAAGAAUAUAGUUUCUUGGAGUCCCGGUUUUUAGUAGACUGAUGUUUUCUAUCUAAGAAUAAUUUCAAAUAAUUUUUUUGCUCUGUCAAGACAUGCCCAAGCCUAGUUACUUGCGAGAGACAGUAGAUUUUCUUGUCCAUUUUGUAGUCUUUGUAGCACUGUUUAGAAUUUCUCAAGAAUUGUCCAGACAUUAAUUUGUGUUUGUAAGUUGAAUUACUGUAAUUAUCCAAUACAAACCUCUGAAGACAGUGAGUUCUGUAGAGUCCUUUAGUGUCCAUGCUGAGGUGCUUGCUCUCAGACAGCAAUGCUUGUUUGUCCCCUCUCUUUUUCAUUCUCAGACAUUACAGAAUUGAUAUUGCAGAUAUUGCCAAGCCUUUAAUGGCUGACUGACACCCUGUUCAUGGUUGGUUUUGCUGCUGGUUUGGGAAGGGGUCUUUCUAUGGCCGCCACAAGCACAUAUUGCCAUCACUGGUCCUUCAUUAUCUCUUAGCAACCAUUUGGUCUUUCACAAAAAAUGUCCCAAGCUAGAUGGUCUCAAUGGUCCGUGCAAGACCAUUGAAGAAUGGGCUGUGACCCACAGAAGGAAAUGCAGCUGGAAUUAUUGAAUCACAGCCUCUGUGUCUAAAAUGGCUCUGAAAAGAAGGUUCCUUAACUCCUCUCACCUGGGGCAAAAUUCAUGGUGAGAAAAGAGUUGCUAGAACCUCCCAAAGCAGCUCUGGUUGUUGCUGUCUGGUGUGACAGAGGCAUGUGGCCAUGCACAAAACCUCAGCAGAACCCUUUGAAAUUCCCUACAGAAAAGUGAAGACAGGCCAAGUUAUCUGGAAUUCACAGGGUGUUUUAUCCACGGUAUGAAGCGUUGCACCAUCUUAUGGCCAAGGAACCAAAAUCAUGAAAUUAAGCAAAAUCACAGCAUUGGAGAGGUGCGGUCAGACCGAAAGUACAUGAGGUGCUCCAAGCUGUGAAGCGAUGUUAUGAGGAAUCAGGGCUUGGCAUUCAUGCUGGACAAGGGAAUGAGAGGCCUACGUGAUUAAUCUUUCUGGUGGGUAGGAGAUCCCAAGUCUAAAACUGCCCAGGUCUCAGAAAGUGGAUGUGAUCCAUAGGCACCGAGUGGCAAGUGUUUAAUAACCUUGCAUUCCUCUCCGAAGGCGUGGUUCACAGAAUCACAGAAUGGUUUGAGUUGGAAGAGCUGUUAAAGAUCAUCUAGAUAUGCAACCCCUUGCCAUGGACAGGGAACCUUUCGCUGCACCAGGUUGUUUGUCAUUAUUGGUGGCAAGCUGCUCACAAGUAGAGGCUUCCCUGUUCCCCAGCCUUCUCUGUUAGUUAUCUGCCUCAUUGAAGACACACAACUCCAGGACGUCACCUUCCGUGUCCCCUAGCUCCAGCAGCUGCCGGUCCUGAGUUUGCUGCAAGACCUGCUCCCAUCAGGCAGUAUCCUCACCACGGAGCUCGACCAUGAGACUGCUGCAGCUUGGUGUGCUGCCCAUCACCAUCCCCUGGGAGCCUGUGAAAGGGAUUUGACCCAUCCAUCUGCACUUUUCCAAUUACUGCUGGUGCUCAGGGUGCUCCCUAAGAGAGCUGAAGACAGAACUGGCUUGGUGUUGGCAGGAAGUUUCAUAUAGUUUCUGGGAAGCAAGGCUUGGGAAGGGGCCCAGGCUGUCACAGUGCCUGUGUUUUGGGUAGCAUCUGGCCUGAUGUCUGUUGGAACAAAUGGCUGGCCACUGAGACAGGCACGUUACAGCCAACACUACUCAUGCAGACAAAGCCACCAACUCGCUUCGGCCCAGGAUGCUUGGGGACAAAAGUGCCACACACACUUGUCUCCAGUUCUAGGGUGAAUUUAGACAACCAGAGCUAGGAUGUGCACUGAACUGCCCGUGCACACAGGCAGCCACAAUGCUUGGAAGCCAAAGGCUUGAGGGCAAAGAAAGAUGAAUGUAAGAAAUACUUUCUUUGAUGAAAAAACUAGUUGCAACGAAUGAAGUAAUGAAACAAAGAUUGACCUUUACAAUUUUGUGUCAGUACACAAAAUUCUUUUGAAGAAAUUUGCAUUAAAAAUGCUCAUUGAAUAAAGCAGAAUAUCUUUCAAAGAAGGUUUUUAUGACAUUAUAAGACAAUUUUACCAAGCCUCAGCAUAGACAUUGCUGGGAUCUGCGUAACCCUGAAAAAUAAGGUAUUGGAGGAAUAUCAGUGAAACAAGUAUGGCAAUGUUCAUUUGGAGAAAUUUCUUCAUGAUAAGGCUGGAAUAUUGGGUAGCAAAGGAGGGGGAAAUACACAAACUAAACAGUGAAACAUGAUCAGAGAAUCUUAUUUGUUGCUUGGGGUCUGAAAACUGUAUUUGAACUUAAACUUUCUAAUGGUUCCUACUUGUAAAAAAAGAGUAUUUAAAAAAUGUGUUCAGAUAUACCAGGCUGAUGACCGACUGACAUGCUUUUUAUUCCAAUAUUAACAUGUAUCUUAGAGAACCAUGUCCAGUGUAAAAAAUCCCAUGGUGUUGGGACCAGAAGAGGAAUGCAAAGCUCUUGUGUUUGGUCUGUCUGUGCUGUGCUAUACAGGGUAGUUGUAGAGAAAGAUCAGAAGAGGGUCCAGAUACUCAGUCUAUGUCUUUUCUCUUUCAGUUAUACAAGGUCAGUAGGUUGGAACUCACCUAAUAGGUUUAAAUCAGUGAAAAUGGAAGGCCAGUAUCUACAGCUGCCUAUAUCUCGAUAACCUCUCUACUUAAAAACACCAGCAAUGUGCAGUGUAAUGUCACUUAUUUUGAAGCUGACAUUUUGCAUUGUACAUGUUUUCAGUUGCUCGUAAAACUUUGCCAGCUUUCACAAGUCUGAAAUUUUCCCUAAGGGGUGUUGGCCUCAAACUGAAUUUUUUUGUGAAGACUCUAGACACAGUUUUUUCAGCUGCCUCAGAUCAAAAUGCAGAUUAUUUCCCCUUGUAGAGAAAAGAAAAAGAAGAAGAAAGAGAAAAAGAAGAAAAGAAAAAGAAGAAAGAGAAAAAAGGAAGGAUAAGAAAAAAUAAAAGAAGAAAGAUAAAAAAAGGAAAAGAAGAAAAGAGGAGAAAAAGGAGAAAAAUAAAA